AAGAAACCGGAAAGAGGAAAAUCGAGGUGACUGUUCCAGUGGCAGAAACUCUGAAUAGUUCCAAAGAAGAUACGCCUUCCCCUGCCAGCAGUACCACCACAAGAAGAUCUUCAGGUGCCUCAAGCCAGAUGAGCCUACCGCAGAAUGCUACGCUGGGGAAUGCACCGCUGAUACCUGACAAUCGAGGGGCAAAGGCCGAAAAGCAAAGAGAAGAAGGCUGGUUUGCCUUGUCAAUGCACAUUUUAGGUAGCCGCCCACCCAGCUAGAUCACGUUGGUGUUCAGCUGGUUUUUACGGCAUUCUCGUACAGUUCUGCAGCCCUUUGUGCUAGAAUCUAGAAAACGUGUGUUGGUGAACUCUGCUUGUACGAUUAGAGUCCUCUACAUCCACUUUAUGUGCUUCGCAGUCGGAGUUUAUGUCCGAAUCUCCAGUGAACAGAGACGGAAGUCUUGGAUAUCUCCACUCCAAUGCAGUAUUUGCAAUCAACAGCAUGGGUAUCCACUUGUGGGUGCAGCAGAAUAAACUCAGCUCCUUACUUCAAACUUUUGUGAACACUUCCUAAUAUCGCCCCAUCAAAGUUGACCCAGUCGACAUUAAGGGCACUGCUCCUAUCAAUUGCUCACCGUGUGCCACUUCCUCUGCUUUGUUGUGCUGGGGAACAGCAUCCCACUGGUGGCAAGCAGUCUUGUUUAAUGGCUCUCACCGGGUGCCCUUGAUAGCCAAGAGAGAGUCCCUUCUGAGACAAAUACCCAAGAAAACAGUUCAUAGAGAAGUCCUCAACUGUUCUUUGAGACUCAUCUCUGACGUAUCCAGCAGAACACAAAAUGAAGUCAUCUGUACUUGAAAACUACUGUGUGCAGUUAAUGGGUUGGAUCCAGGGGAGGAUUUCAAGGGGAAGAUUUGUCAGUUCCUCCCAUCCUACUGGAGAUUUCCCACUAUUCCCCCUUCUGUUAUGGGGUGGGGUUGGGGUCUCAUGUUCCCCCAGAUGCAGCAUUUUGGGCUGCAGCAGGAGAAGGGAAGUGAGGAAGUUACCCUACAUGUGGAAAUCUCUUCCGUCGGAUAUUUCCGUGGAUUUGGGCUAAUAGUUUUUGGAAGGGCCAAAGAUUAUUUAAUGGUAGCAUCAUUGGAGAGCAAGCUGAUUUUAGGGGGGAAAGGUUCAUGCUGGGGGCACCAGACGGCUUGGAAUAGCCGUCCACACUUGGAAUAGAAGGCGCCAUUUAUUUCUGGUCUACUUCACCAUCUGGUCUAGUCCUACAGCUGUCCUGGUUUCCUCUUGUUUUAUAAGCCAUGGGAUUCACCUUGGGAUUUUAGGCUAACAAAAUUUCUCUUCAGUGGGAGAACUGGAAUCCCAUUUUCCAGAUCGCUUUUAGAAUUAAUCUGCAUGAGAUCUCCCUUUAUGAUAGGCUUAGGGGCCAAAAACUCCCAUUAAGACGAGAAGUCGGGAAACCUCCAGUUCACCCUUCUCUCAAGCUAUGGCAGCUGUGUUCCAAAUUGUAGGCAAGAACGUUCUAAUUUGUGGGAGCAGCCUUUGGACUGCAAAAUCAGGAUAUAUCCGCCAGCAUAUUGGGAUUUUUCCAGCUUCCCUCUAUUAGUUGGGCAAAGACCAAGCAAAGCAUUUCUAAACUUCUGUUUUCAAGUGGGACGCCUGAUUGAAAUGCCUCACUCCAAAAAGAGAAUCUUCCACUGCGAAGCAGGAAGAUCAUAGUAAACGCAUCGUUUUACGGUUGUAUCUCUUGGAUUGAAUGGCAUUGCAGCGGUAUGAAAUUGAAUUGUUCGUCAUUGUAAUAUUGUUUAUAUCUUUUGACAUGAUUAAUACAAAUAAACUAUAAAACA